CCUACGGGAGGCAGCAGUGGGGAAUAUUGCACAAUGGGGGAAACCCUGAUGCAGCGACGCCGCGUGAAGGAAGAAGUAUUUCGGUAUGUAAACUUCUAUCAGCAGGGAAGAAAAUGACGGUACCUGACUAAGAAGCACCGGCUAACUACGUGACACCAGCCGCGGUAAUACGUAGGGGGCAAGCGUUAUCCGGAUUUACUGGGUGUAAAGGGAGCGUAGGCGGCGAUGCAAGUCAGAAGUGAGAGCCCGGGGCUCAAACCCGGGACUGCUUUUGAAACUGUGUUGCUAGAUUGCAGGAGAGGUAAGUGGAAUGCCUGGUGUAGCGGUGAAAUGCGUAGAUAUUAGGAGGAACACCAGUGGCGAAGGCGGCUUACUGGACUGUAAAUGACGCUGAGGCUCGAAAGCGUGGGGAGCAAACAGGAUUAGAUACCCGUGUAGUC
rnacentral:rRNA from 1 species